CUCACUCCUCUUCGAAUUAGCGACUCUGGGGCCCAGCUUCCACUAGCUCCUGCCGAGAGCAGCCGGGACGCAUCCCUGGCAUAACAGCUAAUGGAGCGAUUCCACAGUGCAGUGGAGGAGGAGAAAGUCUUCCUGGGUUCCAGCUGGAGACAGUAGGGAAGAGGUUGUUGCAGUGCUUUUGACUCAGCAGACUGUAUCAAGUUGAUGAACAAAGACUCGAGGGAACACAGCCUAAGCUUCUGGAGUGCCGAGUUACUUCCAACUGUUUCUGUAGGACUGACCAGUUUAGAUCAAACUGAAUUUACUAUAUGCAGAUUAAUAAGCAGCCUUGCUCUGUAUUAGAAUUUAAGCUAUUACUGUUUCUUUAUGUUUAUAAAGUUGUAUUUAAGAAUUAA